rnacentral:rRNA from 1 species
GACAGAGGGUGCAAACGUUGUUCGGAAUUACUGGGCGUAAAGCGCGUGUAGGCGGCUAUGCAAGUCGGAUGUGAAAGCCCUCGGCUCAACCGGGGAAGUGCACCCGAAACUGCAAGCUAGAGUCUCGGAGAGGAUCGUGGAAUUCUCGGUGUAGAGGUGAAAUUCGUAGAUAUCGAGAGGAACACCGGUGGCGAAGGCGGCGAGUCUGGACGAUGACUGACGCUGAGACGCGAAAGCGUGGGGAGCAAACAGG